AGAUGCACUGCAUCCCAUCUCACUUAUUCUCUCGCUCCAUCUUUCCUUCUCAUCCCAAACGCCGCAGCCAGUGUGAAGCCUCCAAAGUCGCUGGCGCCCCCACGUUCCACCGGAGCGAGGCGCCGCCGCCGGAUCUCGUCCCCUCCCCCUCCCCCUUUGUGUGUCUCUCGCUCUUAUUUUCUCAUCUCGGUCUAAUCUAAUUCUAUUAUAUGCAUGCAGGCCGAUGUGAAGCCAAGUCGCUGGAGCAGAGAUCUGGAGCGCCUCGCCAGAUCUCUCCUCUGCACCCCUGCCAGCCGCGUCAGGCUCCGCCUCGCUACUGGCGGUCUCUCCCCGGCAAGCCCAUCGGUCGGUGAGAGUAGCUCACUCUCGAUCCCCUUGUGCUCGCGCGCCACCAGGGGAGGAUGAACCCCUUGCACCCGCG
rnacentral:rRNA from 1 species